UAGCUAUCACUGAGAUCACUCGAAGGACUGAUCUCACUCCUGGAGUAAGGAGGACUAAGAGACCCAAUAUUGCUAGAGUACCGGUUGGAGGAUAUGUAGAGUAUAAGGACCACUGGGGGAACACGCCCAGCAAUACUUAUGGUCGUGAAGCAGUCCAUAUUGUUAAUCCUAUACCCAGCCCCACUCCUAGAAGUAGAAGAAAUAUUAACAACAAGAGAACAAGAGAUGAGGAGGAUUUGUAUCUGUCUUUUGCUUCUCCUGAUGAUCCUGAGAAUAUAGUGAGACAUCAUAUCUGUAAGUACAUGUG